rnacentral:lncRNA from 1 species
GCCUUGUUUAGUUCCGAAAAAUUUUGGGAAAUGGACACUGUAGUAUUUUCGUUUGUAUUUGACAAAUAUUGUCCAAUCAUGGACUAACUAGGCUCAAAAGAUUCGUCUCGUCAAUUUCGACCAAACUGUGCAAUUAGUUUUUAUUUUCGUCUAUAUUUAAUACUCCAUGCAUGCGUUUAAAGAUUCGAUGUGACGGAGAAUGUGAAAAAUUUUGCAAAA